CACGUAGGGGGCAAGCGUUGUCCGGAUUUAUUGGGCGUAAAGAGCUCGUAGGUGGUUCGGUAAGUCAGGUGUGAAACCUCCAGGCUCAACCUGGAGACGCCACUUGAUACUGCUGUGACUGGAGUCCGGUAGGGGAGCGUGGAAUUCCUGGUGUAGCGGUGAAAUGCGCAGAUAUCGGGAAGAACACCCGUGGCGAAGGCGGUUCUCUGGGACGGUACUGACGCUGAGACGCGAAAGCGUGGGGAGCGAACAGG
rnacentral:rRNA from 1 species